rfam:Auricularia subglabra TFB-10046 SS5 ATRDEscaffold_3_Cont83, whole genome shotgun sequence.
GGGCAAUUGGCACAGUGGUAGCGCGCUUGCUUCGCAUUCAGUGAUUGCAUGAGGUCUUGGGUUCAAUCCCCAAAUUGUCCA